AUUGAACGCUGGCGGCAUGCCUUACACAUGCAAGUCGAACGGCAGCACGGGAGCAAUCCUGGUGGCGAGUGGCGAACGGGUGAGUAAUAUAUCGGAACGUGCCCAGUAGUGGGGGAUAGCCCGGCGAAAGCCGGAUUAAUACCGCAUGAGACCUGAGGGUGAAAGCGGGGGAUCGCAAGACCUCGCGCUAUUGGAGCGGCCGAUAACAGAUUAGCUAGUUGGUGGGGUACAGGCCUACCAAGGCAACGAUCUUUAGUAGGUCUGAGAGGACGACCACCCACACGGGGACUGAGACACGGCCCAGACUCCUACGGGAGGCAGCAGUGGGGAAUUUUGGACAAUGGGCGCAAGCCUGAUCCAGCAAUGCCGCGUGCAGGAAGAAGGCCUUCGGGUUGUAAACUGCUUUUGUCAGGGAAGAAAUCUUCUGGGCUAAUAUCCCGGGAGGAUGACGGUACCUGUAGAAUAAGCACCGGCUAACUACGUGCCAGCCGCCGCCGUAACAC
rnacentral:rRNA from 1 species